rnacentral:rRNA from 2 species
UGGGGAAUAUUGGACAAUGGACCAAAAGUCUGAUCCAGCAAUUCUGUGUGCACGAUGAAGUUUUUCGGAAUGUAAAGUGCUUUCAGUUGGGACGAAGUAAGUGACGGUACCAACAGAAGAAGCGACGGCUAAAUACGUGCCAGCAGCCGCGGUAAUACGUAUGUCGCAAGCGUUAUCCGGAUUUAUUGGGCGUAAAGCGCGUCUAGGCGGUUUGGUAAGUCUGAUGUGAAAAUGCGGGGCUCAACUCCGUAUUGCGUUGGAAACUGCCAAACUAGAGUACUGGAGAGGUGGGCGGAACUACAAGUGUAGAGGUGAAAUUCGUAGAUAUUUGUAGGAAUGCCGAUGGGGAAGCCAGCCCACUGGACAGAUACUGACGCUAAAGCGCGAAAGCGUGGGUAGCAAACAGG